rnacentral:ncRNA from 1 species
CAGAUACUGCCACCGGGUAGUGAAUGAAAAGCAUUCGUUUGCACAUCGUUAGGUCUUUGAAGAUGUGCAGCGAAUGCUUUUUUAAA